GCUAGAGAUGACGAGCGGCGGACGGGUGAGUAAUGCUUGGGAACAUGCCUUGAGGUGGGGGACAACCAUUGGAAACGAUGGCUAAUACCGCAUAAUGUCUACGGACCAAAGGGGGCUUCGGCUCUCGCCUUUAGAUUGGCCCAAGUGGGAUUAGCUAGUUGGUGAGGUAAAGGCUCACCAAGGCGACGAUCCCUAGCUGGUUUGAGAGGAUGAUCAGCCACACUGGAACUGAGACACGGUCCAGACUCCUACGGGAGGCAGCAGUGGGGAAUAUUGCACAAUGGGCGCAAGCCUGAUGCAGCCAUGCCGCGUGUGUGAAGAAGGCCUUCGGGUUGUAAAGCACUUUCAGUCAGGAGGAAAGGUUAGUAGUUAAUACCUGCUAGCUGUGACGUUACUGACAGAAGAAGCACCGGCUAACUCCGUGCCAGCAGCCGCGGUAAUACGGAGGGUGCGAGCGUUAAUCGGAAUUACUGGGCGUAAAGCGUACGCAGGCGGUUUGUUAAGCGAGAUGUGAAAGCCCCGGGCUUAACCUGGGAACUGCAUUUCGAACUGGCAAACUAGAGUGUGAUAGAGGGUGGUAGAAUUUCAGGUGUAGCGGUGAAAUGCGUAGAGAUCUGAAGGAAUACCGAU
rnacentral:rRNA from 1 species